AAAGAUCAUGCAUAAACCUAAGCGUUUCACUGGAAGUAAAACGCGAGUUUAUCGCUUCCUUACAGAGGUGGAACCAAGGACAGCAAAUGCUGACGAGGAGAAGAGACGGACGAGCGUUUGCUUGCGGUUAAUACCGAAGGGACGGGAUGAAACAAGGAAGCCAGAAUGCAGCGGCCCCUCGAUAUCACCAGGAACUGCUACAGGAGGAGGCGUUCUGGCACGGGUAACUAGGGUAAGUAUGGCUAAUGACCGUUAGCAGUUAUUUCGGCCUCCCCGAGGCAGCGCUGAGGACUGAGUAACCCGUUCCUGCCCUGUGGCUGCUGUUGCCUGUAUCUGCCUUAGCUUUGCUUUGGCUGUUUCUCUUUUGUUUUGUUAUCGUACACGCAGCUACGGAAAGGAAUAGAUGUCAUACUUACUUUUUUAGAUUAAUUGCCACGGCUGAAGUUGAAGAGACCAAGAAACGUAAGCCGCGAAGGGGCACAUCUUGAAGAGAGGGGGCUAGACCUAGCGAUGCAGUUGUUCGUUUUGGUCGUCGCCUGUGAGGCCAGCAUGCAAGAGUAAGAGGAAGCUAGGAGCAGUCUCAAAAAGAGAUGGAACCAAGGACGGCAAAUGCUGACGAGGAGAAGAGACGGACGAGCGUUUGCUUGCGGUUAAUACCGAAGGGACGGGAUGAAACAAGGAAGCCAGAAUGCAGCGGCCCCUCGAUAUCACCAGGAACUGCUACAGGAGGAGGCGUUCUGGCACGGGUAACUAGGGUAAGUAUGGCUAAUGACCGUUAGCAGUUAUUUCGGCCUCCCCGAGGCAGCGCUGAGGACUGAGUAACCCGUUCCUGCCCUGUGGCUGCUGUUGCCUGUAUCUGCCUUAGCUUUGCUUUGGCUGUUUCUCUUUUGUUUUGUUAUCGUACACGCAGCUACGGAAAGGAAUAGAUGUCAUACUUACUUUUUUAGAUUAAUUGCCACGGCUGAAGUUGAAGAGACCAAGAAACGUAAGCCGCGAAGGGGCACAUCUUGAAGAGAGGGGGCUAGACCUAGCGAUGCAGUUGUUCGUUUUGGUCGUCGCCUGUGAGGCCAGCAUGCAAGAGUAAGAGGAAGCUAGGAGCAGUCUCAAAAAGAGAUGGAACCAAGGACGGCAAAUGCUGACGAGGAGAAGAGACGGACGAGCGUUUGCUUGCGGUUAAUACCGAAGGGACGGGAUGAAACAAGGAAGCCAGAAUGCAGCGGCCCCUCGAUAUCACCAGGAACUGCUACAGGAGGAGGCGUUCUGGCACGGGUAACUAGGGUAAGUAUGGCUAAUGACCGUUAGCAGUUAUUUUGGCCUCCCCGAGGCAGCGCUGAGGACUAAGUAACCUGAGGGGCUCUGGCCUGGGUUGGGGCAGAAGUGCAGGCAGGCGGGAUCAGGCAUUUUCCUCUCAGCUCUCCGAGCUGAAUCCUAGCCCUGAAGGAAAAAGCACUGGGGGGAGGCUACUCGGACACCUGCCAUGUCGAGGGCAGGGGCAGGAGCUGACCCUUCCCCGACGGACGGACGUACGGACAGACGCUGGUGCGGCGGUGACUCUUUGGAUAUCGUAGGUAAGGGGAGGCACGCUGGUGCCGAGCUCCAGGGCGGUUUGCCUGAACACGAUGCCUGAGGCAGGAGGUUAUGCAUUGUGUUCAGGGCUGGGAGCUGGUCCCCGAGUCCCAUGUACUUGGGAGUGCCUGCACUUGCCAGGGAGCCCGGUGCUGUUCCCAGAGCUGCGGGGAAUUUCCCUUGCGUUGCCUGGACCCUCGGGGCUCUUGGGGGUGUUUCCCCUCAUCGCGAGGGCUGCCAGAGCCCCUCCAGGGCUGCGUGAGGUCCCCGAACCGCUCCCGGAUUUGCUUUUGGCACUCCGCAGUGUCGCUCGUGUGCCUGGGGCAGCCUGCAGGCGCCAUCCUGUCAGCCGCGUUGAGCCCUGCGGCGUGCCUGGUGACCCCUCUGGUGUGCGCCAAGGCCCUUCCUCUGUAUUUUGGUCUGCCCCAGAGCCCUGCACUUGCCCUCUGAUGCCCUCAGGACCCCUCAGUUCACAUUCUGGGUUGCCCCCGAGCCCUCUGCGUGCCUUUCGGUGCGCCCCGUGGCCCCGUGUGUGUUUUGCGGCACGCCGCAGAGGUCUCUGUUUAGCUUUUUCUCCUGUCCUGGAGUUUUCGGGGUGCUUCUGGGUGUGCCCCAGGGCCCUCCUUUUGGUGCCCCCCCGAGUCCCUCUGUUUGCUCUAUCGUUGUUCUUUUUUUUUUUUUUUUUCUUUUUUUUCUUGACUUGUGUUGCACCCAGAGCUCUCGAUUUGUUCUCUUGUGCUCCGCAUACUCCCCUUUCCGCACUCUACACCCCAGGCAGGGCUCUCCCUUCAGCUCUCAGCAAGCUGCUGUCAGGAGAGUGGGGGUGCCUCUGCUGCCCUGGCAGCCCCAGCUGUCCCUGAAGGGGCUGAUGGCCAGGCCCCCUGCCCAGUUCCUGCAGGCCCACAGCUGCGGGCCCUGGGGCUGGGAUGAAUGCCAGGGGGAGCUGGGUGGCAGGACAGGCCCCAGGUGGGGCUGAUGGCAAGGGCAGGCCCACAUUUGGGGGCUGGGGCUGCAGUUGGGGGGAGCUGGCGCUGGGGCAGGAGCUGGGCAGCGGAGCUGCCACGGAGCACGGCCCUUCGGGACCAGCCCGGCGGCCGCCCCGCGGAGGAGGUGAGCGGGGCCGGGGGAGGCGCACUGCAGGCUGCGGGUCCCGCAUGUGCCGGGGGUCCCGGCGGCUGGGAGCGUCCCGGGGCCACGGAGGCGGGGGG